CAUCGCUCUUUGUAAUAAACAUAAUUAAUAAAGAGUACUGCCUGCCCAGUGAUUAAAAUUCAACGGCCGCGGUAUCCUGACCGUGCAAAGGUAGCAUAAUAACUUGCUCUUUAAUUGAGGGCUAGCAUGAAAGGCAAGACGAAGGCUAAACUGUCUCCCCUUUAAAAAAAGAAACUAAUAUUCUAGUGAAGAAGCUAGAAUAAAACCGCAAGACGAGAAGACCCUGUCGAGCUUAAGAAAAUUCUUAUUUUAUUUAAAAUAAAAAGCUAAUCAUCCUAAAAAUACUUUUAGUACAAAAACCAAACAAGAAUAUCUUUGGUUGGGGCAACCACGAAGAAAAAACAACCUUCGAUUAAAUAAAAAAAAUUAACAAAUUUUAAAACUUUUAAUAAAGUAUUAAACGAUCCAGAAAAUACUGAACAAAGAAAUAAGUUACCGCAGGGAUAACAGCGUUAUUCUCUUUAAGAGCUCUUAUUGACAAGAGAGUUUGCGACCUCGAUGUUGGACCGGGGUACCAAAGAGAUGCAGAAGUCUCUAAAAGUAGGUCUGUUCGACCUUUAAAACCCUACGUGA
rnacentral:rRNA from 1 species